GGNUCAACCAUAGUUCGCUUUGGAAACUGUCAAACUUGAGUGCAGAAGGGGAGAGUGGAAUUCCAUGUGUAGCGGUGAAAUGCGUAGAUAUAUGGAGGAACACCGGUGGCGAAAGCGGCUCUCUGNUCUGUAACUGACGCUGAGGCUCGAAAGCGUGGGGAGCGAACAGGAUUAGAUACCCUGGUAGUNCACGCCGUAAACGAUGAGUGCUAGGUGUUGGAUCCUUUCCGGGAUUCAGUGCCGCAGCUAACGCAUUAAGCACUCCGCCUGGGGAGUACGACCGCAAGGUUGAAACUCAAAGGAAUUGACGGGGGCCCGCACAAGCGGUGGAGCAUGUGGUUUAAUUCGAAGCAACGCGAAGAACCUUACCAGGUCUUGACAUCCCGAUGCUAUUUCUAGAGAUAGGAAGUUACUUCGGUACAUCGGUGACAGGUGGUGCAUGGUUGUCGUCAGCUCGUGUCGUGAGAUGUUGGGCUAAGUCCCGCUACGAGCGCAACCCCUAUUGUUAGUUGCCAUCAUUCAGUUGGGCACUCUAGCAAGACUGCCGGUAAUAAACCGGAGGAAGGUGGGGAUGACGUCAAAUCAUCAUGCCCCUUAUGACCUGGGCUACGCACGUGCUACAAUGGUUGGUACAACGAGUUGCGAGUCGGUGACGGCGAGCUAAUCUCUUAAAGCCAAUCUCAGUUCGGAUUGUAGGCUGCAACUCGCCUACAUGAAGUCGGAAUCGCUAGUAAUCGCGGAUCAGCACGCCGCGGUGAAUACGUUCCCGGGCCUUGUACACACCGCCCGUCACACCACGAGAGUUUGUAACACCCGAAGUCGGUGAGGUAACCUUANGGAGCCA
rnacentral:rRNA from 1 species